AUUGAACGCUGGCGGCAGGCCUAACACAUGCAAGUCGAGCGGUAGAGAGAAGCUUGCUUCUCUUGAGAGCGGCGGACGGGUGAGUAAUGCCUAGGAAUCUGCCUGGUAGUGGGGGAUAACGUUCGGAAACGGACGCUAAUACCGCAUACGUCCUACGGGAGAAAGCAGGGGACCUUCGGGCCUUGCGCUAUCAGAUGAGCCUAGGUCGGAUUAGCUAGUUGGUGGGGUAAUGGCUCACCAAGGCGACGAUCCGUAACUGGUCUGAGAGGAUGAUCAGUCACACUGGAACUGAGACACGGUCCAGACUCCUACGGGAGGCAGCAGUGGGGAAUAUUGGACAAUGGGCGAAAGCCCGAUCCAGCCAUGCCGCGUGUGUGAAGAAGGUCUUCGGAUUGUAAAGCACUUUAAGUUGGGAGGAAGGGCAGUAAAUUAAUACUUUGCUGUUUUGACGUUACCGACAGAAUAAGCACCGGCUAACUCUGUG
rnacentral:rRNA from 1 species